AAGAAAUGAUGUCACUAUUUGUUACUGAUAUGUAAUUUUUACAAACAAGGAAGUGGAGGUUGAAUACAGAGAAUGCAGAAAAAGGAGGAAAACAGGGGGAAAAGCCAGAAAGAUCUUGAUAAAGAUAAGAUAGAGAUUAGAGAUCAGAUAGCAAGAUUUCAGAAAGGACCUAAAGAAGAGGAAAAUAGCGAGAAUUUCAGGGCUUGUAUUCGCUUUCAACAGACUCAAAAGAAAAAUAGUUGCUGCUGCGUCAUAUCAUAACAGAGGGCAUCUCGUAAAAGAUGUUGAUUAUUUGAAAUAAAUGGCGAGAAAUUAUUCAGUCUCAAGAUGUGAACCUUCACAGGCGAGUUGGCUAAACUCACAGGCACAAUGGCUAUUCAAGAUCCUUUAUAAACAGUGAUAGCGAUUACUAUAAUCCAUGCAGGAACUUUUUCUGGAAUGCGCCGAAAUAAAAUAUGUUACAAAUGAGAAGAUUCUUGUAAUAAUUACAUAUGUUAUUCUAUGCAAAAUGUUAUGUGUUGAGAGUGUUUUCUCAACUUUCUAACGUUGGACAUUUUUAAAAUCUUAAAAUAUUAAAAAAUUGUGACAGUUAUUGGCUAUUAUUAACAGAAGGGGACAUUCGAUAAUGCGUAUUUGGCGUUUUUCCCCCUAAUAUCUGUUUUCAGUUCCUUGGACCAUUAUUUGCUAUUAAAUAUUUAUAAAAACUUAUUUUGGUAGAAAUCAAUCGCUAUAUACUUAAUUAUUUCAAAAGCUCCAUUAUAUUUUAACUAUACAUUUUGAAUUGUAUUUACAAUUUUAUCAACUAAAAAAAAAAAACCAAAAAAAAACACACAAUAAAAAUAAGAAAAAAAAACAAACAAUGCAGGAAUGGUAGAUUAAAAAAAAUCAUUUUAUGAUACACAUGUAUGUUUGGCAUAGACACAAUAAUGUGUGUUUAUAUUAUAUUUCUAUAUUUCUAUAUAUAAUCAAAAUUUAAAGGGACUCCACUUAGAUAUUUUGACAUGACGGGACUGAUUUUUAUAGAUAAAUGUAAUGAUUUAUUUGUAUGGGUCUAGGCCGAUAUAUGGUGUGCAAACUUUCAUAUCGUUUACUAACUCCUCCGUGUUUUCCAGAAUAAUCAUUAUUGUUGUGUAAAUGACACAAAAUUGAAAAUCGUUGCAACGCUUUUCACUCAAAUCGGGCUAAAUGAAGAUUUUUUUACUUAUUUCUAAGUAUAUUUCUCAGGAAUAUUUGUGUAUCUUUCUCUGUUUUAAGUGGCCCAGUUGAUCUAUGAACGAAAUCUAAAUUAUAUGUUUCUAUGAUUUCCGGCCUUUGUGGAGUUCCUUAAAGGUAUUUGUUGCAAGUAUUAUGCGCUGAUUUUGUAGUUCUACUGAAGGUGGAUUGAAUCUCAACACAAUGUUCCGUUUUAUAUAUUUUAAUGUUAAUCUUUCUUAGUGGAAUACCACAAAUAAUAUAUAACAUAUACACAGGUUAUCCUUAUGUUUACAAAUAGAUAUUAAAAAACAGUAACAAAUAUUUCUAGUGGAGAGCCACAACGUUAUCACUUGGAAAUCCAAAAUCUAACUGUUCGAUUUCUCUAUCUUUACAAUAUUUCUAAAAAUGGUUUCGUUUUAAACUGACCAAUAAAAUUUUAACAUUUUUGUGUCUUAAAUAACAAAAUGACCAAUCAGGU